UCUGGGAUAGCCACCGGAAACGGUGAUUAAUACCGGAUACGACAACCGAUUGCAUGAUCUGGUUGUGGAAAGUUUUUCGGCCUGGGAUGUGCUCGCGGCCUAUCAGCUUGUUGGUGAGGUAAUGGCUCACCAAGGCUUCGACGGGUAGCCGGCCUGAGAGGGUGACCGGCCACACUGGGACUGAGACACGGCCCAGACUCCUACGGGAGGCAGCAGUGGGGAAUAUUGGACAAUGGGCGGAAGCCUGAUCCAGCAACGCCGCGUGAGGGAUGACGGCCUUCGGGUUGUAAACCUCUUUCAGCACAGACGAAGCGCAAGUGACGGUAUGUGCAGAAGAAGGACCGGCCAACUACGUGCCAGCAGCCGCGGUAAUACGUAGGGUCCGAGCGUUGUCCGGAAUUAUUGGGCGUAAAGGGCUCGUAGGCGGUCUGUCGCGUCGGGAGUGAAAACCAGGUGCUUAACACCUGGCCUGCUUUCGAUACGGGCAGACUAGAGGUACUCAGGGGAGAAUGGAAUUCCUGGUGUAGCGGUGAAAUGCGCAGAUAUCAGGAGGAACACCGGUGGCGAAGGCGGUUCUCUGGGAGUAUCCUGACGCUGAGGAGCGAAAGUGUGGGGAGCGAACAGGAUUAGAUACCCUGGUAGUCCACACCGUAAACGUUGGGCGCUAGGUGUGGGACACAUUCCACGUGUUCCGUGCCGCAGCUAACGCAUUAAGCGCCCCGCCUGG
rnacentral:rRNA from 1 species